GGGUUGUGAGGUUAAGCGAACAAGCGUACACGGUGGAUGCCCUGGCAGUCAGAGGCGAUGAAGGACGUGCUAAUCUGCGAAAAGCGCCGGUAAGGUGAUAUGAACCGUUAUAACCGGCGAUGUCCGAAUGGGGAAACCCGGUGCACUUCGGUGCAUCAUCGUUAGCUGAAUACAUAGGCUAACGAGGCGAACCGGGGGAACUGAAACAUCUAAGUACCCCGAGGAAAAGAAAUCAACCGAGAUUCCCCCAGUAGCGGCGAGCGAACGGGGAACAGCCCAGAGCCUGAAUCAGCUUGUGUGUCAGUGGAACGGUCUGGAAAGGCCGGCGAUACAGGGUGACAGCCCCGUACACGAAGGCACACAGGCUGUGAGCUCGAUGAGUAGGGCGGGACACGUGAUAUCCUGUCUGAAGAUGGGGGGACCAUCCUCCAAGGCUAAAUACUCCUGACUGACCGAUAGUGAACCAGUACCGUGAGGGAAAGGCGAAAAGAACCCCGGCGAGGGGAGUGAAACAGAACCUGAAACCGUGUACGUACAAGCAGUGGGAGCCUUCGUAAGAGGGUGACUGCGUACCUUUUGUAUAAUGGGUCAGCGACUUAUAUUCUGUAGCAAGGUUAACCGUAUAGGGGAGCCGAAGGGAAACCGAGUCUUAAUUGGGCGUUAAGUUGCAGGGUAUAGACCCGAAACCCGGUGAUCUAGCCAUGGGCAGGUUGAAGGUUGGGUAACACUAACUGGAGGACCGAACCGACUAAUGUUGAAAAAUUAGCGGAUGACCUGUGGCUGGGGGUGAAAGGCCAAUCAAACCGGGAGAUAGCUGGUUCUCCCCGAAAGCUAUUUAGGUAGCGCCUCGUGAACUCAUCUCCGGGGGUAGAGCACUGUUUCGGCUAGGGGGCCAUCCCGGCUUACCAACCCGAUGCAAACUGCGAAUACCGGAGAAUGUUAUCACGGGAGACACACGGCGGGUGCUAACGUCCGUCGUGAAGAGGGAAACAACCCAGACCGCCAGCUAAGGUCCCAAAGUCAUGGUUAAGUGGGAAACGAUGUGGGAAGGCCCAGACAGCCAGGAUGUUGGCUUAGAAGCAGCCAUCAUUUAAAGAAAGCGUAAUAGCUCACUGGUCGAGUCGGCCUGCGCGGAAGAUGUAACGGGGCUAAACCAUGCACCGAAGCUGCGGCAGCGACACUUAUGUGUUGUUGGGUAGGGGAGCGUUCUGUAAGCCUGUGAAGGUGUGCUGUGAGGCAUGCUGGAGGUAUCAGAAGUGCGAAUGCUGACAUAAGUAACGAUAAAGCGGGUGAAAAGCCCGCUCGCCGGAAGACCAAGGGUUCCUGUCCAACGUUAAUCGGGGCAGGGUGAGUCGACCCCUAAGGCGAGGCCGAAAGGCGUAGUCGAUGGGAAACAGGUUAAUAUUCCUGUACUUGGUGUUACUGCGAAGGGGGGACGGAGAAGGCUAUGUCAGCCGGGCGACGGUUGUCCCGGUUUAAGCGUGUAGGCUGACUUUCCAGGCAAAUCCGGAAGGUUAAGGCUGAGGCGUGAUGACGAGGCACCACGGUGCUGAAGUGACAAAUGCCCUGCUUCCAGGAAAAGCCUCUAAGCAUCAGGUAACAUCAAAUCGUACCCCAAACCGACACAGGUGGUCAGGUAGAGAAUACCAAGGCGCUUGAGAGAACUCGGGUGAAGGAACUAGGCAAAAUGGUGCCGUAACUUCGGGAGAAGGCACGCUGACAUGUAGGUGAAGCCCCUGCGGGUGGAGCUGAAGUCAGUCGAAGAUACCAGCUGGCUGCAACUGUUUAUUAAAAACACAGCACUGUGCAAACACGAAAGUGGACGUAUACGGUGUGACGCCUGCCCGGUGCCGGAAGGUUAAUUGAUGGGGUUAUCGCAAGAGAAGCUCCUGAUCGAAGCCCCGGUAAACGGCGGCCGUAACUAUAACGGUCCUAAGGUAGCGAAAUUCCUUGUCGGGUAAGUUCCGACCUGCACGAAUGGCGUAAUGAUGGCCAGGCUGUCUCCACCCGAGACUCAGUGAAAUUGAACUCGCUGUGAAGAUGCAGUGUACCCGCGGCAAGACGGAAAGACCCCGUGAACCUUUACUACAGCUUGACACUGAACAUUGAGCCUUGAUGUGUAGGAUAGGUGGGAGGCUUUGAAGCGUGGACGCCAGUCUGCGUGGAGCCAACCUUGAAAUACCACCCUUUAAUGUUUGAUGUUCUAACCUGGCGCCGUGAUCCGGCGUGGGGACAGUGUCUGGUGGGUAGUUUGACUGGGGCGGUCUCCUCCCAAAGUGUAACGGAGGAGCACGAAGGUCAGCUAAUCCUGGUCGGACAUCAGGAGGUUAGUGCAAUGGCAUAAGCUGGCUUGACUGCGAGAGUGACGGCUCGAGCAGGUGCGAAAGCAGGUCAUAGUGAUCCGGUGGUUCUGUAUGGAAGGGCCAUCGCUCAACGGAUAAAAGGUACUCCGGGGAUAACAGGCUGAUACCGCCCAAGAGUUCAUAUCGACGGCGGUGUUUGGCACCUCGAUGUCGGCUCAUCACAUCCUGGGGCUGAAGUAGGUCCCAAGGGUAUGGCUGUUCGCCAUUUAAAGUGGUACGCGAGCUGGGUUUAGAACGUCGUGAGACAGUUCGGUCCCUAUCUGCCGUGGGCGCUGGAGAAUUGAGGGGGGCUGCUCCCAGUACGAGAGGACCGGAGUGGACGCAUCACUGGUGUUCGGGUUGUCAUGCCAAUGGCACUGCCCGGUAGCUAAAUGCGGAAGAGAUAAGUGCUGAAAGCAUCUAAGCACGAAACUUGCCCCGAGAUGAGUUCUCCCUGAGACUUUAAGUCUCCUGAAGGAACGUUGAAGACGACGACGUUGAUAGGCCGGGUGUGUAAGCGCAGCGAUGCGUUGAGCUAACCGGUACUAAUGAACCGUGAGGCUUAACCUUACAACGCCAAAGAAGU
rnacentral:rRNA from 1 species